UACGUAGGGUGCAAGCGUUAAUCGGAAUUACUGGGCGUAAAGCGUGCGCAGGCGGUUAUGCAAGACAGAUGUGAAAUCCCCGGGCUUAACCUGGGAACCGCAUUUGUGACUGCAUAGCUGGAGUGCGGCAGAGGGGGAUGGAAUUCCGCGUGUAGCAGUGAAAUGCGUAGAUAUGCGGAGGAACACCGAUGGCGAAGGCAGUCCCCUGGGCCUGUACUGACGCUCAUGCACGAAAGCGUGGGGAGCAAACAGG
rnacentral:rRNA from 1 species